AGAGUUUGAUCCUGGCUCAGAUUGAACGCUGGCGGCAUGCCUUACACAUGCAAGUCGAACGGUAACAGGCCGCAAGGUGCUGACGAGUGGCGAACGGGUGAGUAACACAUCGGAACGUGCCUGAUAGUGGGGGAUAACUACUCGAAAGAGUGGCUAAUACCGCAUAAGAUCUCAGGAUGAAAGCAGGGGACCGCAAGGCCUUGCGCUAACAGAGCGGCCGAUGGCAGAUUAGGUAGUUGGUGGGAUAAAAGCUUACCAAGCCGACGAUCUGUAGCUGGUCUGAGAGGAUGACCAGCCACACUGGGACUGAGACACGGCCCAGACUCCUACGGGAGGCAGCAGUGGGGAAUUUUGGACAAUGGGCCCAAGCCUGAUCCAGCAAUGCCGCGUGCAGGAUGAAGGCCUUCGGGUUGUAAACUGCUUUUGUACGGAACGAAAAGCUUCUCUCUAAUACAGGGGGGUCAAUGACAGUACCGGGAGAAUAAGCUCCGGCUAACUACGUGCCAGCAGCCGCGGUAAUAC
rnacentral:rRNA from 1 species